UGCAGCAGGGAGACCCAGCGGAACCCAGCAGAUAGUGUGGCCUCCGAGAUUCUGCAGGAAGGGGCACCGAAGCAAUUAACAAGGAAGGGGCACCAAGAAAACCAGGUGAAGCCUUUUGGAGCAACCUUUACUUAUUUCCCCUAGAACUUGUUUCCUUCCAACCCCGGGGGAUGGGGUUUAGGCAGGCUUGUACAGAACACUUGUAUGGUCCUUAUUGGGUCUGAAUUUUGGGGGGAAUAUUGGUUUUGUGGUCUCUCCACAAAAUUCCAUAAUUAUGUAAGUUCAAAUUAUGUAAUAAACCUAUAACCCUAAUUUUUUUUACCAA